rnacentral:misc_RNA from 1 species
GAAGAUGGUAAAAUCUCCACCAGCUGCAAGGAAAAGUAAGGUGAAACUUAGGGCUGCACAAAAAAUAUCCAAACCAGAACAGACUGACUCGGCCAGUUUUUAUUUUUCACAAGCAGAGUAACUUUACUAUUACACCAAACCACCCUCUUAUGUUUGCCAUCUUUGUUCCAUAAAAAUGGGCCUACUUCCAUUUUUGCGUAGUUUAAGAAAAUAUAGGUAAUAUAGUUAAAGCAAUUAUAUUUUCUUAAACUA